CUACAGCAGGAAACUAAUCAAUCUGAAGAGUGAAAAACACAAACAACUUGUCCUAGUAUCUGUACUUAACUGUAGGGGGAUUCAUAAUGUCAGUAUAACGAUGGCUUUAAAAGUAAGGAUAUGAAAAUUGGGAAUUUAUAAGCAGUGAUUUAAUAUUAUCACAUUCUUUGUCUAAAGCGGAAGGAGUGUGAGAUAGCAUAUUCUUUUGUUAUGGAUUUCUUUACCGUUCGUUUAUUCAUUCUGUCGUUUAGUUAAGCUCUGGAUUUUUAUUUGCACUUCAACGCUAACUCACCUUCUAGCUAAUCGCACCAAUUUUUAAUUUAUGAAUUAUGAGACUGACAUCAGUUUCCCCUAUCGGUGACGUACAGAUAUUAAUAUUGGUAAAUACAACUUUGCUGGUCUUUGGACUUAACUUCCCGUAACCUGAAUCGGAGCAGAAGGUAAAGAAGCUGAAGAUCUGAGAACGCUACGUUUUUUCUUUGUAAGUGGAAAGUUCUGGCCACUGGCUCAUUCAUACGCUGUAUGCAGGCUAUUUGAUAGUUUACAAGGAGUCAAAGAAGGACUUUUUGGAAACAAAAAAACCCAACAUUACCUGGAACCGUAGAUGAACGAACAGAUCUACCUAGAAGUGUCAUACAGAAGCCAAUAUCCAACGUUGAAAAACAUCUGAAGAUACAGCGAGAAGCUUAAACCCCUUAGUCUCUUUCGGACAAAAUUAAAAAGAAAAUGGUCAUCGUCCUAUGCCGUUGCAGAAAAUUUCAAUGGCGCAAGAAGGCUUUCAGAUUGCGCCCUCCUCUCCAUCAAAAUAAAGGACUUACUCUGGUGUGUCCACAUCUCAUCCUUCGACGUAACGUACUGAUGAGUCAUUUAUGUUCUCUGCUUAACGUAAGUGGUCUUUGAACUCGAACACUUCCUGUAAAGUGAAUUAGAACAGGAAAGUAGAGAAGAUGAAGAUUCAUGAACAUGAAUUAUUUCUUCUUGUAAGGUAUCUGUACUGAAACUGUAA